GAUGAACGCUGGCGGCGUGCCUAAUACAUGCAAGUCGAGCGAACGGACGAGAAGCUUGCUUCUCUGAUGUUAGCGGCGGACGGGUGAGUAACACGUGGAUAACCUACCUAUAAGACUGGGAUAACUUCGGGAAACCGGAGCUAAUACCGGAUAAUAUUUUGAACCGCAUGGUUCAAAAGUGAAAGACGGUCUUGCUGUCACUUAUAGAUGGAUCCGCGCUGCAUUAGCUAGUUGGUAAGGUAACGGCUUACCAAGGCAACGAUGCAUAGCCGACCUGAGAGGGUGAUCGGCCACACUGGAACUGAGACACGGUCCAGACUCCUACGGGAGGCAGCAGUAGGGAAUCUUCCGCAAUGGGCGAAAGCCUGACGGAGCAACGCCGCGUGAGUGAUGAAGGUCUUCGGAUCGUAAAACUCUGUUAUUAGGGAAGAACAUAUGUGUAAGUAACUGUGCACAACUUGACGGUACCUAAUCAGAAAGCCACGGCUAGCUACGUG
rnacentral:rRNA from 1 species